AUUUUAAACCACUGCAGCGCACCAUUUUGUAUGUGUGUGUGUGUGUGUGUGUGUGUGUAUAUAUGUGUCUUUGGUGUUUGUGUCUGUGUGUGUGUCUGUGUGCUUGUCGAUGUCUGUUCUUUGGCAGUUUCGAAUGUGUGCAUGUGUGUUACUUUGUGGAUGUCUCUCUGGCACUUUCUUACAUGUGCGUGCGCGUACAUGCUUGCGUGUCUGUGUGUAUAUGUGUGUGUCUGUGUGUAUGUGUAUAUGUGUGUGUGUGUGCACAUGUGUGUGUGUGUGUGCACGUGUGUGUAUGUGUUUGUGUGUGUGUGUGCAUGCUCUGGGGUCCGUAGGCGAGACAGAAAGCAGAGAGGAACCGCAUGCGCGUGGAGAAGAACUUCCUGAAACAGACGCACGCGCGGCGGCAGGAAGCAGCGCAGACGCGCCGCGAGGAGAAGAGGAGGGUCCAGAAGGAGAAGAUAAUGAAGGAAGAGGACCCUGAGAGACAGCGCCGCCUGGAGGAGGCUGUGCACCGUAGAGAACAGAAGAAGUUGGAGAAGAAGCAGAUGAAACAUAUCAAAGUCAAAGCCAUUUGAGUAUGAACAGCCUGAGGAACCCGCAGCCUGGAGAGCGCUGGGCUCGAACUAGCCUACGGUACCCUGUUGCAUUCCGUAAGCUGGCUCCAGCCCCUCAUCUUACAUGAGCGUUCUUUCUGUAGCAACAGAAACGUCCUGUCCAAUCAGCCGUUUCACCGGCGAAAUGUUUGGCUCUUCCAUUCUACUUAGCUAUCCACACGUUUUAACUUGCAACGAUACUUUUAAUGAUAUUUCCACAAACUUCAACAAUUGUGUGAACCAAAUGCGAGUGCACACACAACAGGCACACGCGCACACACACACACACACACUGGCAGAGUAAGCCUUGAGUGGUCUUGCUGAGCUCAACCACUGCUCUGAAGAAAAAUAUUUCGUAUUUCAUUGUGCGAAAUUGUGUAGUGGAUGUUAUUGCUGUGGGUGGGUCUGUUCAUUUUGAGGGAUUUUAUUUUUGUUUUCUUUGGGUUUCUAGUGCCUGAGCAUUAGAGGAGCUACAUACAGCUUAGUGGCUUUUCUGUAAAAAAAAACAAAAAAUAAAAACAUCUGAUAAAGUAUGCUGAAGUCUACGGACUGUAUGAGCACUGUGCUUGAUGCUCAUUUUUAUCCUUUAUUUUCAUGUUUGUGUGCUGCUUGUUGUAAUUGAAAUACAUUUGCUCAUAUAUACUGCUAA